rnacentral:rRNA from 1 species
UACGGGGGGGAGCAAGCGUUGUUCGGAUUUACUGGGCGUAAAGGGCGCGUAGGCGGCCAGCACAAGUCAGUUGUGAAAUCUCCGAGCUUAACUCGGAAAGGUCAACUGAUACUGUGCGGCUAGAGUGCGGAAGGGGGCAACUGGAAUUCUUGGUGUAGCGGUGAAAUGCGUAGAUAUCAAGAGGAACACCUGCGGCGAAGGCGGGUUGCUGGGCCGACACUGACGCUGAGGCGCGAAAGCCAGGGGAGCGAACGGG